GACGAACGCUGGCGGCGUGCUUAACACAUGCAAGUCGAACGGAACGGCCCUGCUUUUGUGGGCUGCUCGAGUGGCGAACGGGUGAGUAACACGUGAGUACCCUGCCCUUGCCUUUGGGAUAACUUCAGGAAACUUGGUCUAAUACCGGAUAGGAUCUCCUGCUGCAUGGUGGGCGUUGGAUAGUUUCGGCGGUUGGGGAUGGACUCGCGGCUUAUCAGCUUGUUGGUGGGGUAGUGGAUUACCAAGGCUUUGAGGGGUAGCCGGGCUGGGAGGGUGACAGGACAAAGUGGGACUGAGAUACGGCACAGACUAGUACGGGAGGGAGGGGAGGGGAGGAGAGCAUAGUGGGAGGAAGGAUAAUGCAGUAAAGCAGCGGGGGGGAUGAGGGGCUUGGGGUUGGAAACUGAUGUUGCCUGAGACGAAGCGUGAGUGACGGUAAUGGGUAAAGAAGCUCCGGCUAACUACGUG
rnacentral:rRNA from 1 species